AUUUGAUUGACUGAAGACCAUUUUUGUAUUCCUAUUCUCUCGAAAUGUUCCUGGAAUGUAAGCUGUGUAGGUUGCAUAAGUGGUUUGUAUGAUAUUGCCUUUUCACAUUUCUUUUCCUAUUUUGGGAUAAAUCACCAUAUCUAGUUUGCGAUGAUGACCAUUUCAUUAUUCAGAUCAGGAACACAAGAACUGUCAACCGGAC
rnacentral:misc_RNA from 1 species